rnacentral:lncRNA from 1 species
GGGCCCCUUAAACUUUAUAGGCGCCGCUGGCUUCUUCCCGCCUUUGUGCUCCAGAAGCUGCCCCCGUGGGGUUGCCGUUUCUCCGGGGCAACCGAGCCCCGUUUCGGGGUGGGGUCGGGGAGCCAAGAGCGAGCGGCAAGUGCGCGCAGGAAGGUUACGACGAGCGGAGGGUUGUUUUAUUUGGGAGGGGGUGUCUUUCGAAAGUUCGACGCGAGGCAGGGACACCCGAACAUUUCCCAGCCGCCGCCGCCGCCCCCCCAACCCCGUCCGCCAUUCUUCCCCACCCCUCAUGGUUUCCCUCGCCGCCUUAAUAAUUCGUUCGGUUUUGUGAGGCUCUUGAGCGUCUCGUCGCGAGGCUGAGCGGCAAGACCCGGGGAGGGGGACGGGAGGGAGAAGAGAACGAAAAUAAAUUUUGAAAAGAGCCUCUUAAGAUACGCCAGGUAGAGGGACGGAGGGACUUUCUUUGUUUCUUUUGCGGUUAGGGGGUUUCGUGUCCGUGCACGGAAAGUGUGUCGGUCUUGCUCCCGGGGCACACUUUGCUUGCACUUUCCUCUUCCCCCCCGUCACCAGUCAGAGGAGGCCACUUGAAAACCUGCGUACCGACGGAAGCGAACAACGCGUGGGAACCGUGUCAGCGUGUGUGUGGGGGGGGGGGAAGGAAAUAGUGUGCAUUUCACUCUCUCGUGUGACAGGCAGCUACUGCUUUGCCUUUUUCUUCCUCAGUGAAAUUCCUCCGACUGCCGAAAGGAUUUUCUUCUCCAUCCAUCUCCGCCUACAGACGCACGCGCGCGCACACACACAGACAUACACACAGACACCAUCCGUUUCCAAAAUAAAAGGUUCACCCAGAGGAAUUCAAGGCUGGGUCAGAAAAUGGAACCAGAUCAUCCUGUUUCAGAACUAUCCACUGCAACAUAUUCAACACCACCAUUUAAUGGGAAUCCUCCAGUGAGCUUCAGAUUUUUGUUUGGUACUAAGUAACAAUGCUGCAGAAGUAGUAACUGUAAAUGGUUCUCUUGCAAAGCAUGUUAAUUCCCCAGAAAAAAAUAAAGUUUAUAUUGUGAUUGACGUAGCUAUGGGC